rnacentral:lncRNA from 1 species
GUUGGAAGCCGCUGAGCAGUCAGACACACCUGUGACCUCUGUCUUGCAUGCACCUGAACAGUCUUAUCAUAUAAGACUUUGAGAACAGUGAGUUCUUGUUACUGAAUAAAGUGAGCCUUGGCUCACUAGGAAGAUCCUCAUCAAUUAACAUGUCGAAGUAUAGUUCCCUCCUCCAUCUCACCAGUGGGGUUUAGUUUUCUGCCCAAAACCCUCAACAGUUGCUUCUUGUCUUUUGUUAUUUAAUCUGCAUAUGAUGAAAUGUACUCUGGUCUAUAAGCCUUGAUGGGCAGCGUCAGGCAGCCACCACGACAGGGUGUCAUACUCCCACCACCCCAAGAAGACCCUCUGCUACCCCUCUGAUCAAAACUCUCCGAUCCUUAACUGGUGGCAGCCACUGGUCUGCUCUCUGUCCCCCGAUUGCUCCUUUUCCAUAGGGCCAUGUCAGUGAAAUCACACAGUCCAUGUCCUUUGGAGUCUAGCUUCUUACACGUACCUUGGGCACUGGGGACUCGCCCUGCAGUGGGAAUCGGUAGCUCAUUACUUUUUAUUGCCGGGUAGUAUUCCAUCAUUUGCUCACAUGCUGGAGGAUGCCAGAAUGUUUCCAGCUUUGGGAAAUUAUUAAUAAA